rnacentral:lncRNA from 1 species
AUUUCUUUACGAGGUCCCAAAAUUUACCAUCACACCUCCUCGUAUUUAGAAUCAUAUUAACACUUCCAUCCCAUAUAUCUCGUGAUCUAUGGGUAAUUUGUUCCGUUAAUACAGAUGAUUCAAGUGGACCGGGGUCUAGUUGGUAUGCAAUAGUACCAGCCAUAAAACUACCUAUAAAAUAAAAGAAACACAUAUGAAAUUAAAAUUAUUAAAUAGACAAAAUCAUAUAACAUCCACUAAAUCAAUAAAAAAAUUAGUAGUAUACUUGUUGGUAUCUUUAAUCUUUUGGUGUUUGAUUCCUUUUACUAAUAAUGUGUCAUUCUUCUUUUGUUAAAAUCUGUAAAAUAAUCUAAUGUAUACUUCAUUAGACCAAUUUGCUUAGUUCAAAUUAUUUAUGUCUCUUUACUUGUUAUUUGAUUUGUUUUAUUAUUCAAAAUGACUAAUUAUCUCUUUUUUUUUCAGAACACAUUUAUAAAAACUUAUUAAGGAGAAGGUUGAUGAGAUUUCUACACCAAGGGAUGAAUAUGAUAUUGAAGUAAUAUAAGGAGACAUUAAAUUUAAAGAAACAUGCCAACAAGUGAAGCUGGAGAACUUAAAUUGAAAGAAACAUGUCAACAAAUGGAGUUGGAGACGUUAAGUUGGAGGACAAUGCCAACAAGGAGCUUAUGUUGAUGUUUUAUUAGCUUAAGUUGACAUGGAGCUAAUUUUUAUGUUUUUAUACUUCAAAUAUGUUCGAUUUUAUUUGUAUACAUGUUAUUCAUUUCUAAAGGACAUACCAUUUUGAAAUGGUUGUGCAAAUAAAUUCAUAAGUAUAGUUAAUGAAUUAGUGUAAUUUGAAUGGAUUCAAUUAUUUAUUUCAUGUUAUGUGAAAUUUAAGUAAUUUUUGUUGAUUCUAAAAGUAAGCUAGGGGUCAUGAAAACAUAAGAAAUCAAGCCAAGAAAAAGCUAGGAUGUUUACAUAUUAGCUUGGAAAAUAUCCAAGCAAAAGAGAGUUGUUUGCUAUGAAGUUACCUAGGAAUAAUCCUAGCUAUUAUUUGAUUGGAUAUGUUGCCUAGCAAAAUAUUCUAGCUAAACUAGCUAGGCUAACAACGUUUUCCUAGCAAAUUUUUAGCUAAGAAAGAAUUAGCUACAAAAGGUUGCUACGGUCAUUUUCCUAGCAAAAAUGAUGUUAGCUAGGAAUUUUGUAAGUUAGCUAGGGAUUUGGUCUCUCGCUAAUAAGUUGUUCUCUUGUAGUGGGGGCUAUCACAACAAUCCAGAUACAUAAG